rnacentral:siRNA from 1 species
GAGUCGUAAAUAAGUUCCAAGUCC